GACGAACGCUGGCGGCGUGCUUAACACAUGCAAGUCGAACGGAAAGGCCUCUUUCGGGGGGUACUCGAGUGGCGAACGGGUGAGUAACACGUGAGUAACCUGCCCUUGACUUUGGGAUAACUUCAGGAAACUGGGGCUAAUACCGGAUAGGAGCUCCUGCUGCAUGGUGGGGGUUGGAAAGUUUCGGCGGUUGGGGAUGGACUCGCGGCCUAUCAGCUUGUUGGUGGGGUAGUGGCUUACCAAGGCUUUGACGGGUAGCCGGCCUGAGAGGGUGACCGGCCACAUUGGGACUGAGAUACGGCCCAGACUCCUACGGGAGGCAGCAGUGGGGAAUAUUGCACAAUGGGUGGAAGCCUGAUGCAGCAACGCCGUGUGCGGGAUGACGGCCUUCGGGUUGUAAACCGCUUUCGCUCAUGACGAAGCUUUGUGUGACGGUAGUGGGUAAAGAAGCACCGGCUAACUACGUG
rnacentral:rRNA from 1 species